AGCGAACGCUGGCGGCAUGCUUAACACAUGCAAGUCGCACGGUUGGGGCUUUCGGGUCCUGGCAGUGGCGGACGGGUGAGUAUCGCGUAGGGAUUUAUCGUUGGGGUGGGGAGUAACCGUACGGAAACGUGGGGCGUAAUACCGCAUGACGCCUGAGGGCCGAAAGUUGUAAUGGCGCCUGACGAGGAGCCUGCGUCCGAUUAGGUAGUUGGUUGGGUAAUGGCUGACCAAGCCUGCGAUCGGAGUCUGGUCUGAGAGGAUGAUCAGCCA
rnacentral:rRNA from 1 species